rnacentral:rRNA from 1 species
AGCAGUGGGGAAUAUUGGACAAUGGGCGCAAGCCUGAUCCAGCAAUGCCGCGUGAGUGAUGAAGGCCUUAGGGUUGUAAAGCUCUUUCGGGUGGGACGAUGAUGACGGUACCACCAGAAGAAGCCCCGGCUAACUUCGUGCCAGCAGCCGCGGUAAUACGAAGGGGGCUAGCGUUGUUCGGAAUUACUGGGCGUAAAGCGCACGCAGGCGGCGCGAUAAAUUAGGAGUGAAAGCCCUGGGCUCAACCUAGGAAUUGCUUUUAAGACUGUCGCGCUUGAAUUCAGAAGAGGGUAGUGGAAUUCCAAGUGUAGAGGUGAAAUUCGUAGAUAUUUGGAAGAACACCAGUGGCGAAGGCGACUGCCUGGUCUGAUAUUGACGCUCAUGUGCGAAAGCGUGGGGAGCAAACAGGAUUAGAUACCCUGGUAGUCCACGCUGUAAACGAUGAGUGCUAGUUGUUGGAGUUUAAGGACUUCAGUGACGCAGCUAACGCAUAAGCACUCCGC